UACGUAGGGUGCGAGCGUUGUCCGGAAUUAUUGGGCGUAAAGGGCGCGUAGGCGGCUAUGUAAGUCGGGCGUGAAAUCCCACGGCUCAACCGUGGAAGUGCACCCGAAACUGCGUAGCUAGAGUCCUGGAGAGGAAGGUGGAAUGCUUGGUGUAGAGGUGAAAUUCGUAGAUAUCAAGCGGAACACCGGUGGCGAAGGCGGCCUUCUGGACAGUGACUGACGCUGAGACGCGAAAGCGUGGGGAGCAAACAGG
rnacentral:rRNA from 1 species